AGCGAACGCUGGCGGCAGGCCUAACACAUGCAAGUCGAACGAAGUCUUCGGACUUAGUGGCGGACGGGUGAGUAACACGUGGGAACGUGCCUUUAGGUUCGGAAUAACUCAGGGAAACUUGUGCUAAUACCGAAUGUGCCCUUCGGGGGAAAGAUUUAUCGCCUUUAGAGCGGCCCGCGUCUGAUUAGCUAGUUGGUGAGGUAAAGGCUCACCAAGGCGACGAUCAGUAGCUGGUCUGAGAGGAUGAUCAGCCACAUUGGGACUGAGACGCGGCCCAAACUCCUACGGGAGGCAGCAGUGGGGAGUCUUGCGCAAUGGGCGAAAGCCUGACGCAGCCAUGCCGCGUGAAUGAUGAAGGUCUUAGGAUUGUAAAAUUCUUUCACCGGGGACGAUAAUGACGGUACCCGGAGAAGAAGCCCCGGCCAACUUCGUGCCAGCCGCCGCCGUAA
rnacentral:rRNA from 1 species